AUCCAGCUGACGAGUCCCAAAUAGGACAUAACGCGUGUCCUGGAU
rnacentral:hammerhead_ribozyme from 1 species